AUUGAACGCUGGCGGCAGGCCUAACACAUGCAAGUCGAGCGGAUGAAGGGAGCUUGCUCCUGGAUUCAGCGGCGGACGGGUGAGUAAUGCCUAGGAAUCUGCCUGGUAGUGGGGUAUAACGUCCUGAAACGGGCGCUAAUACCGCAUACGUCCUGAGGGAGAAAGUGGGGGAUCUUCGGACCUCACGCUAUCAGAUGAGCCUAGGUCGGAUUAGCUAGUUGGUGGGGUAAAGGCCUACCAAGGCGACGAUCCGUAACUGGUCUGAGAGGAUGAUCAGUCACACUGGAACUGAGACACGGUCCAGACUCCUACGGGAGGCAGCAGUGGGGAAUAUUGGACAAUGGGCGAAAGCCUGAUCCAGCCAUGCCGCGUGUGUGAAGAAGGUCUUCGGAUUGUAAAGCACUUUUAGUUGGGAGGAAGGGCAGUAAGUUAAUACCUUGCUGUUUUGACGUUACCAACAGAAUAAGCACCGGCUAACUUCGUG
rnacentral:rRNA from 1 species